rnacentral:rRNA from 1 species
UACGUAGGGGGCAAGCGUUGUCCGGAUUUAUUGGGCGUAAAGCGCUCGCAGGUGGUUUGUCGCGUCGUGCGUGAAAGACCCCGGCUCAACUGGGGAGGGUCGUGCGAUACGGGCGAACUGGAGGCCAGUAGGGGGAUGCGGAAUUCCGGGUGUAGUGGUGGAAUGCGUAGAGAUCCGGAGGAAUACCGAUGGCGAAGGCAGGUCUCUGGGCUGACACUGACGCUCAUGCACGAAAGCGUGGGGAGCAAACAGG